rnacentral:rRNA from 1 species
UACGUAGGCAGCAAACGUUGUUCGGAAUUACUGGGCGUAAAGAGUGUGUAGGCGGUUUUGUAAGUUUGGUGUGAAAUCUCCCGGCUUAACUGGGAGGGUGCGCCGAAAACUGCAAGGCUUGAGUACUGGAGAGGAUAGCGGAAUUCCUGGUGUAGCGGUGAAAUGCGUAGAUAUCAGGAGGAACACCGGCGGUGUAGACGGCUGUCUGGACAGUAACUGACGCUGAGACACGAAAGCGUGGGGAGCAAACAGG